UCAUAACUUUAAAAAUGAAAUCUUGCACAUUAAUAAAAGUAUUGCAUUAAUAUGAAUUUAGAAAGAUUUACUGUAAAAAGGCACAAUUUAUUUUGGGGUCAACAGUAUCUCCUUAUGAAAUAGCUUACUAGAUACUAAAGCAGAUAGGUGGUCAGGGAAUCUCACAUGCACAUCUGGGCAGAAACAAAGUCAUGGGCAAUCACAAAAAGACCUUCCAACAAUUGUAAUCAUUCAUUUCAAGAGAAGCAAUCCUUCACUGCAUUUAAUUUAUGGCAGAUUAAAUAAAGUAUAAUUUUUCUUCUCAUUCUUUUUCAAGACUGGUCCCAAUAUGCUAAGCAGAAUAUUGUAUGAUGUCACAAAACACAUGUAUCUUGGGCUUAAGACAUGUAUUCUUACUCGUAGCCCAGUUUAUCCGAAAACAUGAAGUGGCUCAUCUUUAUUCCUUGCAGGGAUCUGUUAAUGCUUUCACAUCCUUAUUUGCCUUUUCCUUAAAGCUCUCACUAGUAAUCCACAUUUAUGGUUUAAAUUUCUCUAGCAUGCCUCACCUGCUCAACAUUCACUAAAAGGUAACCUGUCCGGCUGGUAUAGAAAACAAAGUUAGGCAGUCUUCAGACAAAAAAUAUUCCCAUUAAAAGUUAAUUGUUUUUGUUAUUAGCCAGCUCUCUGCUCAAUCCCCUUGAAAUUUGCUCAUCAAAUCUUCCUUUAUAAGCAAUAAGCUCAUACAGCAGAAUAUGUUGGUGGAAUCAGAUUUGCAGAAUUAGCAAUAGCAUUUAAUGCUCCCCUUCUAAUCUUUUAAUUAGACAGCUCCAGCCCAAACCACCUCCACCCCAAUUCUUAAAUAUGCAUUGAUGUCAGCCAGCUUUCCAAUAUGCUGGACUUCAACUGCAUUGUUGCCAAUUAAUGUUUUUAAUAAUCAACUGGCUGGGGGUAAUGUGUUAACUGAAGCGCAGCAUAUUUGAAGGGCCAUCCCAUAAUGGUAAGAAGUCUCCAGAAGCACUAAUACUCAGCCCAAAAGAAUCUCUCCAAUUUUUCCCAACCUGAUCUAGCAUUUGCAUCUUAAAUAGACAGCAGGAUUUCCAAAGCCCCAAGGACCAAGUCAAGAUCCCAUCUCCCAUUCGAUCCAGAGUGGAGAUAAUUCACCUGUGCUGGCAGAUUACCACACCUAGCAGCUUAAUAUAGAUUUUUAAUGAAAUGGGAAAGAAAGCUAACCUCUGGUCUACCAAUAUACUGGAGUAUCUAAGGGUUUGGCCUCUUCUCCCCCACAGCUUCUUAAAUUGCCUAUUUAAGAAGAAAUGAAAGCACUACAACAUUGUGCCUUGAACACCCAAUCCUUGCAGGCAAUCCAAAAGUAUGCUGUGGUUGAUGGCACCAAAAGCUAUUGGGAAAUCAAGAAGCAUAAAGAAGAUUACACAGAGCACACAAGUCUCAUCACAGCUAAACCUUGUGAGAUGCCCAUGCCCAUGCCCAUGCCUGAGAAAACCUAAAUAUUUCUACGUCCCCCAGGUUCUUCUAUAAGUACCGUAUCACUUUCUGCACAGCCUUCCCUCCAAAAGGGAAGCUGCUGCCUCAUUAAAAAUAAUGAAUUGAAUGCUUGUGUUCCAAGGAAGUUUUUGAUCAAAAUUUGGACAUUUUGCUAUUUUAAUGAAGUUCCACAAUCAUUUUUCUUCAAUACCAUUAACAUUUGCCUAUUCUACUCUUGAAUCUGCAAUCUCCCACCUCAUUUUUUUUCCUACCCAGAAUGUGUUUCUUAUAUUUUUGUCUGCAAUAAAAUUGAGCCACUUAUCUGCAGGCUGAGAGAUGUGGUUGCUAAAAACAGCAUGGGCCCAACACAGCUUUCCUGAAACUCUAUGUGGCCAACUAUUUUGCAAGAUGGAUGAUAAUAAGCUGCUGCCUUCUAAUUUAUAGCAUUAUAGAAAAGCACAUUAACAAAUCAAGUAUCAAUUAUUACAUCAGAAUUAAUGGUGCACAAAUACACAGUAAUUAUUUUUUAAAAAAAAA